UUCUGGAAGGAUUGACAGAUUGAGAGCUCUUGCUUGAUUCGGUGAAUGGUGGUUCAUGUCCGUUCCUAGUUGGUGGAGCGAUUUUUCUGGUUAAUUCCGAUAACAAACGAGGCCAUAGCCAAUUGAAUACAUGUGUGGUUCCGUGCACCUUGCACCCUUCUUCGAGGGACAAGCGGCUCCUAGUAGCACGAAACAGAGCAAGAACAGGUCUGUGAUGCCCUUAGAUGUCCGAGGUCGCACGCAUGCUGUACUGAAGGAAGCAGCGCGUUUUUAUCCGUGUCUGUUAAGACAGUAAGCUUAACAAAAAAAAAGUGACUUGAGUAAAUACAGAGGACUAAUUGAAGUCAAUCGGAUUGCCCCCGAGCAAGUGUUUGUCUGUUUAAAUAACAAGGCAUAGAAAA
rfam:Ixodes scapularis strain Wikel colony gcontig_1108379662218, whole genome shotgun sequence.